UGGGGAAUAUUGGGCAAUGGGCGCAAGCCUGACCCAGCAACGCCGCGUGAGGGAAGAAGGCUUUCGGGUUGUAAACCUCUGUCCUUGGUGACGAAAAAAAUGACGGUAGCCAAGGAGGAAGCCCCGGCUAACUACGUGCCAGCAGCCGCGGUAAUACGUAGGGGGCGAGCAUUGUCCGGAAUUACUGGGCGUAAAGGGUGCGUAGGUGGCCUUUUAAGUUGGAUGUGAAAUCCCCGGGCUUAACUUGGGUGGUGCAUCUAAUACUGGAGGGCUAGAGUGCAGGAGAGGGAAGCGGAAUUCCUAGUGUAGCGGUGAAAUGCGUAGAUAUUAGGAGGAACACCAGUGGCGAAGGCGGCUUUCUGGACUGUAACUGACGCUGAGGCGCGAAAGUGUGGGUAGCAAACA
rnacentral:rRNA from 1 species